rnacentral:rRNA from 1 species
GGGGAAUUUUGGAUAAUGGGGGCAACCCUGAUCCAGCCAUCCCGCGUGUGCGAUGAAGGCCUUCGGGUUGUAAAGCACUUUUGGCAGGGAAGAAAAGGCUCUGGCUAAUAUCCAGAGCUGCUGACGGUACCUGCAGAAUAAGCACCGGCUAACUACGUGCCAGCAGCCGCGGUAAUACGUAGGGUGCAAGCGUUAAUCGGAAUUACUGGGCGUAAAGCGUGCGCAGGCGGUUUGGCAAGAAGGAUGUGAAAUCCCGGGGCUUAACCUCGGAACUGCAUUCUUAACUGCCAGGCUAGAGUAUGUCAGAGGGGGGUAGAAUUCCGCGUGUAGCAGUGAAAUGCGUAGAGAUGCGGAGGAAUACCGAUGGCGAAGGCAGCCCCCUGGGAUAAUACUGACGCUCAUGCACGAAAGCGUGGGGAGCAAAC